GAUGAACGCUAGCUACAGGCUUAACACAUGCAAGUCGAGGGGUAACGAGAGGAAAGCUUGCUUUCCUUGUCGACGACCGGCGCACGGGUGAGUAACGCGUAUCCAACCUGCCCCCAACUAGGGAAUAACCUUGCGAAAGUAAGACUAAUACCCUAUAAUUUCCUCAGAUGUCAUCUGACGAGGAAUAAAGAUUUAUCGGUUGUGGAUGGGGAUGCGUCUGAUUAGCUUGUUGGCGGGGUAACGGCCCACGAAGGCAACGAUCAGUAGGGGUUCUGGAAGGAAGGGCCCCCACAUUGGGACUGAGACACGGUCCAAACUCCUACGGGAGGCAGCAGUGAGGAAUAUUGGUCAAUGGGCGGAAGCCUGAACCAGCCAAGUAGCGUGCAGGAUGACGGCCCUAUGGGUUGUAAACUGCUUUUAUACAGGAAUAAAGUUAGCCACGUGUGGUUAUUUGUAGGUACUGUAUGAAUAAGGACCGGCUAAUUCCGUGCCAGCAGCCGCCGUAA
rnacentral:rRNA from 1 species